rnacentral:tRNA from 1 species
CCUGGUGGCUCAGAGGGUAAAGCGUCUGCCUGCAGUGCAGGAGACCCGGGUUCAAUCCCUGCAUCGGGA